CAGCAGCCGCGGUAAUGCGUAGGUGGCAAGCGUUGUCCGGAAUUAUUGGGCGUAAAGCGCGCGCAGGCGGUUUCUUAAGUCUGAUGUGAAAGCCCCCGGCUUAACCGGGGAGGGUCAUUGGAAACUGGGAGACUUAGAGUGCAGAAGAGGAGAGUGGAAUUCCAUGUGUAGCGGUGAAAUGCGUAGAUAUAUGGAGGAACACCAGUGGCGAAGGCGACUCUCUGGUCUGUAACUGACGCUGAGGCGCGAAAGCGUGGGGAGCAAACAGGAUUAGAUACCCCCGUAGUCCCUGUCUCUUAUA
rnacentral:rRNA from 1 species